CACUAUCACGCAGUAGGAUGUUUAUUUACCCUCAUCCUUUUGACUGAAUAAAGUUUAUCUUUUUGAGAAGCUAUUUGCUUUAUAGCUCUUGGUUAGCAGUUUACGUUUAUCGGCGAUUUUGGCACCCAUGAGACCAACAAGUUGUGGUAAUCCGCGAAUGAAAACUGAUAUUCGAAGAGCACAAAAGCCAACUCCUAGCUAUGUA